UACGUAGGGGCUAGCGUUAUCCGGAAUUACUGGGCGUAAAGGGUGCGUAGGUGGUUUCUUAAGUCAGAGGUGAAAGGCUACGGCUCAACCGUAGUAAGCCUUUGAAACUGGGAAACUUGAGUGCAGGAGAGGAGAGUGGAAUUCCUAGUGUAGCGGUGAAAUGCGUAGAUAUUAGGAGGAACACCAGUUGCGAAGGCGGCUCUCUGGACUGUAACUGACGUUGAGGCUCGAAAGCGUGGGGAGCAAACAGGAUUAGAUACCCUGGUAGUCCCUGAGCGGG
rnacentral:rRNA from 1 species